CAGCGCUUUUUGCGCACCCAAUCUGCAGGUGCAGCAAAGACCUUGGCAAGGGGCAAACCGAUUAUCACUUACAAAAACAGUUACAUCGUAUUGUUCAUAUUUCUUCAAGGUCUUGAGCAAGGCAUAAAUUCUCAGGAAAACGAAGCUGUUGCAGUUCCAGCAUCAGACAGCUAACCAGCCUUUAAAUCCAAGUCUUAAAUAUUGCGCAGCAGUUCCAACUUCAUUAUAUGAAGACAGCGUACUUUUACUGACUUGCAAUUUAGCUUUUGAUUCCUGCUACAAAAAUUACUACAUUUCUUCUUUCCAAGAGCUCCGUUUUCUCGUCUCACCACUUCUUGAUUUGGCUCGUUGUUCCUUUUUCCUAUGCAUAUACUUCUUUGAGAGUUUGAUCUAAAGAGGCAUAGAGCAUGGGAAAAUGGGGCGACUGAGGUACUCCGCCAUUCAUUCCAAACAGUGCUGCCGAGAUGACUAUCGAAACGUGGAGAAAAUGGGCAUACACAGAAAUGAAAGUAAGGGGAACAGAGUCACAGACUGCAGAAGUGCAACACCAAGCCUCUCGGUUGCUGGGACUCAGUCUUCACGGACUGCACUGCAAGUCAAGGCACAGAGGCUCAGCCAUGCAUCUGUUAUCCAGGUUGGGUAUCUAUAGUGCAAUAGUUAUUCUUAGGACCCAAUCCUAGAUUCUAAGUACCUCUUACAUUAUGCCAGCUUGUAAAUUCUUCCUUGUUAAAACAGACUCUUGGUAAAUAGUAAAUUAACUAAUGAGCAUACUAAUUUUUUUCUUCUCUCUUUUUUUUUUUUCUUUUUCCCCCACAGGCAUCUUUGAAGAGGAACUGGAGAUUUUCAUCUUCCUGUUAACAUCUUACUACAUUUCUGUUCAAUUUAUUUUAUUUAGUCUAAAAAGAGAUGUAUCACAUCAGUUCUGUGAAAAAUACUAUGGAACCAUGUAACUAAGUAUACUGUAUGCCAAAUAAAAACCUUAUGUUUCACA